CAGUCGCCGCGGUAAUACGAAGGGUGCAAGCGUUAAUCGGAAUUACUGGGCGUAAAGCGUGCGUAGGCGGUGAGUUAAGUCUGCUGUGAAAUCCCCGGGCUCAACCUGGGAAUGGCAGUGGAUACUGGCUCGCUAGAGUGUGUCAGAGGAUGGUGGAAUUCCCGGUGUAGCGGUGAAAUGCGUAGAGAUCGGGAGGAACAUCAGUGGCGAAGGCGGCCAUCUGGGACAACACUGACGCUGAGGCACGAAGGCUAGGGGAGCAAACGGGAUUAGAUACCCGCGUAGUCCCUGUCUCUUAUAC
rnacentral:rRNA from 1 species